rnacentral:rRNA from 1 species
GACGAACGCUGGCGGCGUGCCUAAUACAUGCAAGUAGGACGCAGUUGCGAACGGGUGAGUAACGCGUAGGUAACUACCUAUUAGAGGGGGCUAACUAUUGGAAACGAUAGCUAAUACCGCAUACUAGUAGAUGGACCUGCGUUGUAUUAGCUAGUAGGUAGGGUAAUGGCCUACCUAGGCAACGAUACAUAGCCGACCGGGGAGGGUGGUCCGCCGAACUGGGACGUGGACACCGCCCAGACUUCUACGGGAGGCCGCAGGAGGGAAACAUCGGCAAUGGGGGGAACGCUGACCGGGCAACGCCGCGGGAUUGAAGAAGGUUUUCGGAGCGUAAAGGUCUGUUGUGAAGGAAGCGGUACUUAACCAGAAAGGGACGGCUAACUACGUGCCAGCAGCCGCGGUAAUAC